rnacentral:lncRNA from 1 species
UCAAGACUUUUAAGCACACCCCACCUCAGAAAAACAAAGAUGUGCACCGUAGUGCUGUACACCUUUCAUCUCUGCUAUUCUAAUUUUGUUUGGCUGACUAAGGACUGCAUGGCGAUAACCCUGUCGAGAAUGCACGGUGUCACCAUCUAAACCAUCCAAGAGCUUCCCUGGGUGUUCUGGAAGAAGCAAGAGCUGGACUCGCUUAACUGCACAACUGUGGGGAUUUAUUUUCAGUCACAUGCGUUGCAACUUGGGUGUGAAAUGGGAAUUCAGUUCACAGGUUCCUGGAAAUGGUGUGGGACCUGCACGCGGCCUUCUGGGUCAAGAAGGAUGCUCAAGGAAUGUCCGAGGCUUUAUCAGUGCACAAUAUUUUCUGCACUGAAUUAGGCUCUCCCAGCUGAAAGAUCAGUGAGUGCUGCUUCAUCUGGGCUUCCAGCGCUUAGGAUAAAGUAGCUUGUGUCUAUCUUAAAGUCUUGAUGUGCAGUCUGGAGCUAGUUAAAGUCGGUUAGCCUCUAGGAAAAAGGCUUUGUUUGCCUUUCAAACAAGAGCUGAUCGAGUUCUGCUAACCCUUUUGAAUUGAUGAUGCCUUUUACAGAGCCCGUCCCUGCCACCACAUCCUGCAGAAGAUGGUGAGUCCUCUGAAGAAUAGAUGUGAUGUGACCUCGACCUUACUGAUAAACUGCAUCUCUUAUGCUCAAGCUGGGUUUUGUACGUUUAUAUAGUGUUUUUACAGUUUAUGGCUUGUGUUCAGCUGUUGCACAGAACUAAAAGCGUAAGUUUGAGAGGCUGCGAGAACAUUGCAGUGAAAUUAAUAUAUACUUUUUGAAGCUCAACGCUCAGUAUAAGUCACUGUUUUAGUUUUUAUCUUGGUUUCCUUGAGUUCCUCAGAGACUCCUGCACAUCGUGUAGCUUUUAUCUCUUGAUUGCCUUGUGCUUGUCAGGGACUUGCAUGUUUGUGCUUGUUCUGGUUUUAGGAAGUAGAUACUUGGUUUUCUAAUACACUGAAGCAUUCUAAAAA